rnacentral:rRNA from 1 species
GGGUUAAGUCCGCAACGAGCGCAACCCUUAUUCUUAGUUGUUUUCCCUUUGGGAUUACCCUCUAAGAAGACUGCCUCGGAUAACGGGGAGGAAGGCGGGGAUGACGUCAAGUCCGCAUGCUCCUUACGUCUAGGGCUACACACGUCCUACAAUGGGGUCGACAAUGGGAUGCAAUAUCGCAAGAUGGAGCCAAUCCCCAAACGGCCUCUCAGUUCGGAUUGUAGUCUGCAACUCGACUACAUGAAGUCGGAAUCGCUAGUAAUGGCGGAUCAGCAUGCCGCCGUGAAUACGUUCCCGGGUCUU